UACGAAGGGGGCUAGCGUUGUUCGGAUUUACUGGGCGUAAAGGGCGCGUAGGCGGAUUUUUAAGACGGUGGUGAAAUCCCGGAGCUCAACUCCGGAACUGCCUUCGAUACUGAAAGUCUGGAGCACGGUAGAGGUGAGUGGAAUUCCGAGUGUAGAGGUGAAAUUCGUAGAUAUUCGGAGGAACACCAGUGGCGAAGGCGGCUCACUGGACCGUUGCUGACGCUGAGGCGCGAAAGAGUGGGGAGCAAACAGG
rnacentral:rRNA from 1 species